rnacentral:rRNA from 1 species
UACGGAGGGUGCAAACGUUGCUCGGAAUCAUUGGGCGUAAAGCGCACGUAGGCGGUCCAGUAAGUCGGGUGUGAAAGCCCUGGGCUUAACCCAGGAAGUGCAAACGAAACUGCUAGACUUGAGUACUGAAGAGGGACGCGGAAUUCCCGGUGUAGAGGUGAAAUUCGUAGAUAUCGGGAGGAACACCAGUGGCGAAGGCGGCGACCUGGGCAGAUACUGACGCUGAGGUGCGAAAGCGUGGGGAGCAAACAGG